ensembl:snRNA U6 U6 spliceosomal RNA
GUGCUGAUUUUGGCAGCAUAUAUACUAAAUUUGGACUAAUACAGAGAAAAUUAGCAUGGCCCCUAGAAUGACACACAAAUUCCCGAAGCAUUCCAUAAGUUU